rnacentral:piRNA from 1 species
AGUAAUGCCGUGAUGAGUGUCUUACUCU